rnacentral:rRNA from 1 species
AUGAAAAUAAUAAGUUGGAACUGCCGAGGUUUGGGUCAACCUCGGACAGUCUUGGAAUUGGAGUGCCUCAUGAAGACGCACAGACCCAAAGUUAUCUUCCUUUCUGAAACAAGAAAAUAUAAAGAGUAUGUUGAGAGUUUGCGCUACCGCUUGAGUAUGAAAAAUGUGUUUUCUGUUUCUGUUCCAAGGAAAGGUGGUGGUGUAGCAGUCUUCUGGGAUGAUUUGUAUAAUCUACAGUUGAAUAAAUACGGUGAACAUUUUAUUGACAUGUACAUUUGUAAAGAAGAUGGAACUAAGUAG